GGCCAUGUUGGUUAACAGAUCCUCAUCUGCUGGACGUCUGGCGAUGAUCUUUAUCGGUUGUCGUCGGUUGCCAGCACGUUUACUUUGAGAAAAUUAGAGUGCUAAAAGCACGGCUCACGCCUAUAUAUAUUGCAUGGAAUAAUGAAAUAAGAUCUCGAUUUUAUUUCGUUGGUUUUAGAAAUUGAGAUAAUGAUUAAUAGGAUCAGAGGGGGGCGUACGUACUGUGGUGUGAGAGGUGAAAUUCUUGGAUCGCCACAGGACGAACAGCAGCGAAGGCGUUCGCCAAGAAUGUUUUCAUUAAUCAAGAACGAAAGUUUGAGGUUCGAAGACGACUAGAUACCGUCCUAGUUCAAACCAUAAACGUUGCCAACUGUCUUUUAGAUGCGGUUAUUUAUAUGACUCAUCUGGCGGAUCUCGAGAAAUCUAAGUUUUUAGGUUCCGGGGGAAGUAUGGUUGCAAAGCUGAAACUUAAAAGAAUUGACGGAAGGACACACAAGAAGUGGAGCCUGUGGCCUAAUUUGACUCAACACGGGAAACCUUACUCGGCCAGGACACUUUUAGGAUUGACAGAUUGAGAGCUCUUUCUUGAUUAGGUGGGUGGUGGUGCAUGGUCGUUCGUAGUUCGUGGAGCGAUUUGUCUGAUUAAUUUCGAUAACGAACGAGACUCCGGCUUACUCAAUAGUCUAAAGUUCGAAGGGACUUUUCAAGACUUCUUAGCAGGAUAAGUGG
rnacentral:rRNA from 1 species